AUUGAACGCUGGCGGAAUGCUUUACACAUGCAAGUCGAACGGCAGCACGGGGGCAACCCUGGUGGCGAGUGGCGAACGGGUGAGUAAUACAUCGGAACGUGCCCAGUCGUGGGGGAUAACGUAGCGAAAGUUACGCUAAUACCGCAUACGAUCUACGGAUGAAAGCAGGGGACCGUAAGGCCUCGCGCGAUUGGAGCGGCCGAUGUCAGAUUAGGUAGUUGGUGAGGUAAAGGCUCACCAAGCCGACGAUCUGUAGCUGGUCUGAGAGGACGACCAGCCACACUGGGACUGAGACACGGCCCAGACUCCUACGGGAGGCAGCAGUGGGGAAUUUUGGACAAUGGGCGCAAGCCUGACCCAGCCAUUCCGCGUGCAGGACGAAGGCCUUCGGGUUGUAAACUGCUUUUGUACGGAACGAAAAGGCUCUGGUUAAUACCUGGGGCUCAUGACGGUACCGUAAGAAUAAGCACCGGCUAACUACGUGCCAGCAGCCGCGGUAA
rnacentral:rRNA from 1 species